UACGUAGGGGGCAAGCGUUGUCCGGAAUCAUUGGGCGUAAAGCGCGCGUAGGCGGCCCGGUAAGUCCGUUGUGAAAGUCAAAGGCUCAACCUUUGAACGCCGAUGGAUACUGUCGGGCUCGAGUCCGGAAGAGGAGUGUGGAAUUCCUGGUGUAGCGGUGAAAUGCGUAGAUAUCUGGAGGAACACCGGUGGCGAAGGCGGCG
rnacentral:rRNA from 1 species